GUGCCACAGCAACAGAGCUCCAGUUGUGUCUUGUAAGAAUUGGUCAUUGUUUCAUGGGGACGACUGGCUCCUUUGGGUGGGAUCUGAUGGCAUCUCAUGGAGUUGAGGUUGUCUGCCAACGCUAACUGGCCAGCUCUGACAGGAGGUGCGUGGCCCAGGAGGAGCCAUCAGGCCAGUUCUCUGGGAUACUGCUGUGUCUCCAGCUCUGCAGUUUGCUCUUCGUCACUCAGCGGCAGACGGAGAGGCAGACACGAGCCCCUUGUGAGCCCUCCUCCUUACCGUCAUCUCACAAUGCUCUGAAAUAAGGAGGCAAAUGGCUGAGGUCCCCUCAGUUGUAGAUGUGAUUGAGUUCUAUCUACCAGAAGCAUAUGCCUCCUGGAAGCCUGGUUCUAACACCUCCCACAAAAUCCUUCAAGCACUUUUUUCUGUUCCAAGGUUUGCUUAUGGGGGACCCAGUGAAGUGCUUCAGAGCCCUAGAGAUUUGCUGAGUCAUAUGAGGGGUCAGCAAACUUUUCCUGUAAAGGGUCAGAUAAUAAACAUUUUAAGCUUUGUAGACUGUA
rnacentral:lncRNA from 1 species